rnacentral:rRNA from 1 species
CAAGGAGGGUGCAAGCGUUAUUCGGAAUCACUGGGCGUAAAGCGCGCGUAGGCGGUCUCUUAAGUCAGAUGUGAAAGCCCGGGGCUCAACCCCGGAAGUGCAUUUGAAACUAAGGGACUUGAGUAUGGGAGAGGGAAGUGGAAUUCCUGGUGUAGCGGUGAAAUGCGUAGAUAUCAGGAGGAACACCGGUGGCGAUGGCGACUUCCUGGACCAAUACUGACGCUGAGGCGCGAAGGCGUGGGGAGCAAACAGG